AGAAUCACCUGAGCCCAGGAGGUCGAGGCUGCAGUGGGCCAAGAUCAUGCCACUGCAUUCCAGUCUGGGCAAACAGAG
rnacentral:snRNA from 1 species